rnacentral:lncRNA from 1 species
UCCUAUAAAAAGUGUCGUUUGAAUAUUAUUUUCACAGACCAAGUUGAGUCGUCUCUUGCAGCGGUACAACUACUCAAUCUUCAAAGCUCGACUUAAUUCUUUUUUAAAGCUGCUGAAAAUGACGUGCAAAAUUGCCAUUUAUUGUCUCCUUCUGGUAGCCUUGAUUUCAUUGGUAUCGGCAGCUCCACCAACUGGAAGAUCGCAAGGUUUUAAACAUUAUUGUGAAAAGAAAACGACCAGCAGUGGAAAUACGCAAUUUUUUUGGGGGUAUGAAACAGUACAACUCCCUUCCGACUGGGAAGGAUCGACUGAGGAAUCAAGCUCGAUCAGCAAAGACGGAACAACCACUCAUGUCAAUUCUUGGUAUCAACUGACUAAAGAAACAAAAAUUAAGUGCGAAAAUUUAAAAUACAUUUAAAACGAGAAAUACAAAACUCU